rnacentral:rRNA from 1 species
AAUCAACGCUGGCGGCGUGCCUAACACAUGCAAGUCGCGCGCGAAAGGGGGGCAACUCCCGAGUAAAGCGGCGAACGGGUGAGUAACACGUGGGUAAUCUACCUUCGAGUGGGGAACAACACCGGGAAACUGGUGCUAAUUCCGCAUGACAUCGUCGGGGCUUCGGUUCUGACGCUCAAAGCUGGGGAUCGCAAGACCUAGCGCUUGAAGAUGAGCCCGCGUCCGAUUAGCAGUUGGCGGGGGUAAUGGCCCACCAAGGCUUCGAUCGGUAGCCGGCCUGAGAGGGCGGACGGCCACACUGGAACUGAGACACGGUCCAGACUCCUACGGGAGGCAGCAGUGGGGAAUUUUCGCAAUGGGGGCAACCCUGACGAAGCAACGCCGC